AGAGUGAACUCCUCUACUGGGGGCGGGAAUGAGUCAGUCCCGGGCUCUCGUGCUGGGGCUUGGGGGUGGGGUCUGCGCGCGGGAUUCGGGGGCGCGGGGACCACAGCUGUCUGACUGAGAAAUUCUCGAGUUUCCGAGUGGGAGGGUCGCGCGAGGCCGUGAGGGGUCUCUGGGGAGCGGAGCCACGCGCUGCCUUCUCCCAGGUGCAGAGGCCGGUUAGGAUUUGAAUUCCGUACCCUGCGCUCUCAACGGCAGUCGGGCUGAGGGGAGACUGGAGGAGCCUAGUCCCGUCUCCUCUUCACCAUGCCAUUUCUUGAAAAAGAGGAAAACAGUGAACCUAUGUUGAUGAAAAAUGAAACACGCCUGCAAAUCUUAAAGAACAAGGAGCAGAGAAAGAGACUUGUUCAUGAAAUUUGUACUUUUUUAGAUAGCAGCCAGUCUGUCCAAGAAAUUGAUGCUUUAAGGACAGAAAACAGGAAAUUAAAAAAUGCGAACUCAAGGCUUCGAUAUAAGACAAAGGAUUGGGCAUUAAAGAAAGAAGAAUAUGAAAAUGAGAUUGAGAGGCUGUCUAGUGAGAUAUCAAAUUAUUUAAAUGCCACCAAUUUUUGGUAUCAAGACACAGAGCUUCUUAAUGAUGAGCAUAAUAAUAUACCAAGGGAACAGGCAAACAAUGUAAGCACUCAGACAGAGGGCGCCCUUGGACCAGUAAAAAGCAUGAGAAACAUCUCAAGCCCUGAAUGGCCUAUCACUCUCAUGACUUCAGUUUUCUGGAUGAUCCUUAGAGGAAGGUGUUAGAACUACCUGUAUAGGCCUCCAGCAAGCUUUUUAUCUAGAGAGAGAAUCUGGAACAACAUAGU
rnacentral:lncRNA from 1 species